AGGGCUGAGCAGCACUGGCAUU
rnacentral:misc_RNA from 1 species